CCUACGGGUGGCUGCAGUGGGGAAUAUUGGACAAUGGGCGAAAGCCUGAUCCAGCCAUGCCGCGUGUGUGAAGAAGGCCUUCGGGUUGUAAAGCACUUUCAGUGGGAAGAAAGCCUUGGGGCUAAUACCCUCGAGGAAGGACAUCACCCACAGAAGAAGCACCGGCUAACUCCGUGCCAGCAGCCGCGGUAAUACGGAGGGUGCGAGCGUUAAUCGGAAUUACUGGGCGUAAAGCGCGCGUAGGCGGUCUGAUAAGCCGGUUGUGAAAGCCCCGGGCUCAACCUGGGAACGGCAUCCGGAACUGUCAGGCUAGAGUGCAGGAGAGGAAGGUAGAAUUCCCGGUGUAGCGGUGAAAUGCGUAGAGAUCGGGAGGAAUACCAGUGGCGAAGGCGGCCUUCUGGACUGACACUGACGCUGAGGUGCGAAAGCGUGGGUAGCAAACAGGAUUAGAUACCCUAGUAGUC
rnacentral:rRNA from 1 species